ensembl:lncRNA PCOLCE-AS1 PCOLCE antisense RNA 1
ACCUGGCUAAUUUUUGUAUUUUUAGUAGAGGCAGGGUUUCAGCAUGCUGUCCAGGCUGGUCUCAAAUUCCUAGCCUCAGGUGAUCCGCCCACCUCGGACUCCCAAAGUGCUGGGAUUAUAGGCGUAGCCACCACACCUGGCCUCCACUUCACAUCUCCAUUGCCUUCUCUCCAGACCUGGGCCAGACUAGGCCAAGGAGAAGGAAUUCUCACCCAUGACCUCUUCCAACUACUUGAAGCCCUCUGCAGCAUGUCCAGGGCCUCCCAGAAGAAGUCCUUCUGUGCGGCCAUCAGGGGCAUCCACCCUACGAUCUCCUUCAUCUUCUCCGUGCGGUCCUGCAACGUUUGGCAACUGUGGAUCUGGCUGAGGUACUCCUCGCAGGCCUGGGCCAUCCCCCCGGGGUCCUGGGGUGCUCUGGCCCCCAGGCUGGGCUCAGGAGUCCCCACCACCCUGCUGGCUGGCAGGUGGCGAUAGGGGGCGUGCUGCUCAAUGUCGUGGCUGGACAGGAUGUAUAGGCACUCCCUGGUGGCACAGAGGGCACAGGCACACAGAGGGACCUUGGAGGAGGAGAGAAAGGGGGCAUGGCUGAGUGGUGCUUUCCUUGCAGGGUUUCCCAGGGUGCCCGGGCUAAUCUGCCUAUUGCAUUCUUCCCUCUCACACCAGCCCUGAGCCGGCUAAGUCCCAGGGGUGUGUGAGGUUGGGCAAGGCCAGCACAGUCUGCUAAGGGAGAAAGCAGAGAGCGUGGUGUGCGGCA